AGAAACUUAGGUAAAC
rnacentral:tRNA from 1 species